UCCGUAGGUGAACCUGCGGAAGGAUCAUUACCUUUCAAUGCAGAAGAGUUGAGAUGGUUGAGUAUCUCGCCUCUCAAUUCUCGCUGUAUUUUACCCUUGUUUUUCUCAUACUAUUAUUUCCUCGGCAGGCUCGCCUGCCGGGUGAAAUAACUUCAAACCUGUUUAAUUUUCAAUCAGCGUCUGAACAAAUUAAUAAUUACAACUUUCAACAACGGAUCUCUUGGUUCUGGCAUCGAUGAAGAACGCAGCGAAAUGCGAUAAGUAGUGUGAAUUGCAGAAUUCAGUGAAUCAUCGAAUCUUUGAACGCACAUUGCGCCCCUUGGUAUUCCAUGGGGCAUGCCUGUUCGAGCGUCAUUUGUACCUUCAAGCUCUGCUUGGUGUUGGGUGUUUGUCCUUGCUCUAGUGGCGGGACUCGCCUUAAAGUAAUUGGCAGCCAGUGUUUUGGUUUUGAAGCGCAGCACAAGUCGCGAUUCAAGUCUAUACGCUAGUUUCCACAAGUCUUUUAUCACUUUUGACCUCGGAUCAGGUAGGGAUACCCGCUGAACUUAAGCAUAUCAAUAAGCGGAGGA
rnacentral:rRNA from 1 species